rnacentral:rRNA from 1 species
UACAGAGGUCUCAAGCGUUGUUCGGAUUCAUUGGGCGUAAAGGGUGCGUAGGUGGCGCUGUAAGUCGGGUGUGAAAUUUCGGAGCUUAACUCCGAAACUGCAUUCGAUACUGCGGUGCUUGAGGACUGGAGAGGAGACUGGAAUUCAUGGUGUAGCAGUGAAAUGCGUAGAGAUCAUGAGGAAGACCAGUGGCGAAGGCGGGUCUCUGGACAGUUCCUGACACUAAGGCACGAAGGCCAGGGGAGCAAACGGG